GACUUAUGGUUUUUAGAGUGAUCGCUCAUGUCGCUCACGUGGUGAGUCCGGCAUUAGGACCUCGCAGCAGGAGAGUGGAGUCCGCGGCUUUGGGAACAGAUUCAGAUGGUCAGGUGUCAGGGUGGUCUGAGGGAGCCUACCCAAAAUAAUCCAGUCACUGUGUCCCAUAGAAGGAACAGCAUACAAAGGGGGCUCCCACAUGUCGGGGAAUGCAUCCACAAGGAAUGGGAAUGACUGCUUCUUGGACGAAUCCUUUGGAUCUGGAUCAGGGAUCGGUGUCAGAUCUCAGUUGGAGAUCAUUAGCUUCACACCAGAGGCUUCACUGGGAAGGUCUGAGCAGCAUUCCGCUCGGUCCUACAGCUCCCCUCACCACCCCCUCUCCCCAGAAUCACGAUGCAGCUUCGCUCUGCUUCCGUGCUUUCCAACAGUCUGCAACCAGUCUUUCGAGCCUGCCAUGAUUGUAAACUUUUCCUCUUCGCUCGCUCAGCCUGUGUGGGAGGUUUCCUGUGUGGCUUUACUUCCGCCAAAUAGAGGAAGGAUCCCGGAGGCAGUUAAAUAGAGCGGUGAUACUGUCAGUGAAAAAAUGGCCUAAUUCUCAUGUGCCUGUGCUUUACCACGCUGAAAGGAUGAGCUGGAUGUCCCAGCAAUGACACUGGUCUAUUGCACACGUGCAGGGGCGAAACCAUAAAGUGAAACUAUAAAUUGUUCCUUUCCCUGAGGAAGCAUCUGAUCACUGCUGGACCCUUCCGGAACACUUCCAUGUGGGAACUGACAGACACGUGUUUGUGUUCUAGAUAUUUUGCUAACCAACCUGCUGAGCGAUCUUACUGUUGACGUGUAACCAGAUGCGGAGCCAGCAUACCCACACCGAGUCCUUUCAGAUGGUACCUUUCACUCGUUAGCUACCUUGCCGGUGAUCAGACUGUGUGAGUGUAGAUCUUCAGUCUGAAUGCUGCGUGUAAAGCUGUUUUGAUGUUACCUUGUGGAGUUCUGGGAAAGCAGAGCUGCGCCCUGCAGCAGUAUUGAGACCCACGCCGAUUUUCGUUCGUGAGUGCUGUAAAAGACAUGCAGAAUCCAGUUUCUUUAUCAAAUUUUGUCUUGAAAGGAGGAUGUAUUUCAACCGGGAAUAAACAGGGGAAAUCCCUCACACAAACCAAUCGACGCAUGUUUAAUUUCUAAAAUAAAUUGGAGCCGCUACCAGAAAAGAAGCAAGGACGUCCAUUUCCACAGCGCCUAUCGUGAAUUCGAGACAUACCAAAGCGUUUCACAACCAAUACUUCCAAAAUGCUAAAAUGCUUUGGUGGGAAGAUUGAAUUAAAUUCACGUCUUGCACACGUUACAGUAGUCAUUAUACUUUAACAUGUUUCCGGCUACAUGCAAGUUUGCAUUUAAAGAUAGAAUCCAGAGGUAUGGUAAGAAAGAAUGAUCUGCAUUUGUUUAGUACUUAAUCAACAAGAACUUGCUUUGAUCUAGUCUUCAAUACAAAAAAAUACACCCAGUUGCUUUACAGAGGCAAAACUGGACAGGAGGAUAUUGGGUGACAAUAUACUUAGUUUAAAAAAGGUGCAAUUUUAAUUAAAUAUAUAAAUGAACCUAAAACGUUUUUAGAAUGUUUGCUUGGUAUGUUAUAAACUGGCAUGGAAAAAUAGCAAAAUGAUCUUUAUAAAUAUAUUAUCUCUCCUAUGUGGAACACAUAUGGUUUCCCCUUGUAUUUCUUCUUAAGAUCUUAAUUCUGGUUGUGAUAGGAUACCACAGGGACUUGAAAUCAGGCCACUCACUUAAAACUCUCUGAAGCAUGAUUCGUCAUCUAUCAGUUUGCACAAUGAGUCUCAGCAGGCCAUUUUACAACAGAGAAAAUCUGAUUCUAUUCCGAAUUAAUAUCUCACAUGGUACACAACCUUAAAGACCGGAAGAUCCCUGGCUUUGAUCCCUGGCUUGUGCUAAACAAAAAAAUUGAAAGAAGCGCAGAUGCUGGGAAUCACAAACAAAAACAAGAACAGAAAUUGCUGGAAAAACUCAGCACAUCUGGCAGCAUCUCGGAGAGAAAUCAGAGUGAAGGUUUUGGGUCUAAUGACUCUUCUUUAGAACUAUUCUGACUCUGAUUUCUGUCCACAGAUGCUGGCAGAUAUAAUGAGUUUUUCCAGCAAUUUCAGCCCUGGUUUAGGCUAUGUCUGUUAGGGUGUUAGGAAUUUGUUCAAGAUUCCCAUUCUAAAUUACUUUCCAGUAACUUCUGAUGAUAAGAAUCUUUAUGGACAUUGGAAAGAAUAAAGCUGGCUUUGGAUUUGAUGCCCACAAGAAGAAUGGCCAUUGAGAUGACAGCUGGUAUCCAGUGAACCAUGCUUCAGCAGAAAAGGUAUGAAACAUCUUUUUCUUAAAAAUUCUCAAAGCUCCUGCUGUUGAUCACUGUCCUGAUGGAUAAGUAUGUAGGUUAACAUCCAAUGAAAACAGGAAGACUUUCUGAAGCCCUCUGUGAUUUAGUUAUCUAGUGAUACUGGCUGUCUCGUUUCUUAUGUGAAGUCCAGGCUCCCUGGCGAGCUUCUGAAGUGUGGGGAGCUUGGACAUUCAUUACUCGUGGUUCUAUUGAUACAAACACUGGUGGGGAAUUGCGAUCUCGUUUGGCAUGAGUUUUCCUCCCUGCCCCAUAUUCCAGAAU